GAAAAAGAGAUGCAGAGAAAA
rnacentral:piRNA from 1 species